rnacentral:ncRNA from 1 species
GCAGAGUAGGCAUGUGCGCGUUAAGUGUCGGUCAGACAGGGAGUUGCUGGCGGAACGAAAGUGGGCUUUGGCCCCUGCGGUGCAUGUGCCGCAUCCCGCUGC